CGCCUUGGCAAGACGUAAAUUUUUCAAAGUGACAUUUCAAAGUGAUCUCAGAGGAGUGAAGAUUGUCAAGAGUUCAGUGCAUAGAAAGAUGUCGGACGGACUUCCAGGAGAGAAUCUCGGAGAGAAUCUCGGAGACGAUCGCGAAGAGGAGCUCGGUGAGGAAAAUCACGAGCAGGAAGUGGGGUUAGGUUCCCAGGGAUCAACGGCAGAGUCUCUGCGCGAGAUCGAGGAUUCGGGAGACGAGGACGAGGAACAGCCCCCCCCCCCCAAAGAGGCACUGUCCGGCAGUAAACCCACAGAUUGAGAAACAAACAGAAGAGACAGGCGAAGGCCACGCCAGCCCAAAUCGAUUAUAUGGUUGAUUAUUUUAUCUAGCAUCCGCACAUCGCAACAGGGAAAUUUCAAUCUCUCCAUGGAAAAUCGGAUUUGGCCGCGUCGUGGGAGCAACUCGUGGAGGAACUAAACAAGAUGGGAAAAGAUGAGAGAGGGAAAGACGUAAAAUCAUGGAAAUCAACGUGGUGAGACAACAAGACCACUGUGUCGCAAAAAGUAGCGAAAAUUCGAGCAAAUCGUUCGAGGACAAGGAAUAUUGGUGGCCCUUGAGUAAAACCGACCGAACGAGAGGAAAAAAUUAUGGGCAUUAUGGGCUUCGAUUACGUGGAAGGAGUGGAAUGCCCUGAUGCCUUUCCCGAAGAACAGUUUAACGCCAUAGAGCUACUGGCAGAAGGAGACGAGAGCAUACUCGAUGAGGAUGGCAGCAUCUUAACUUUGCAAGACUACGUCGAGGCCGGUGCUCUCGAUUACACUAAUA